GACAGAGGUGCCGAGCGUUAGGCGGAAUCACUGGGCUUAAAGCGUGUGUAGGCGGAUGCCUAAGUACCUUGUGAAAUCCCACGGCUUAACCGUGGAACUGCUUGGUAUACUGGGUGUCUUGAGCCACUUAGGGGCGACCGGAACAAACGGUGGAGCGGUGAAAUGCGUAGAUAUCGUUUGGAACGCCAAUGGUGAAAACAGGCCGCUGGGAGUGUGCUGACGCUGAGACACGAAAGCCAGGGGAGCGAACGGG
rnacentral:rRNA from 1 species